CGUAACACGUGAGCAACCUGCCUAAGUGUGGGGGAUAGCCGGCCCAACGGCCGGGUAAUACCGCAUACGCUCACUGGGUGGCAUCACUUGGUGAAGAAACUUUCGAGGCACUUAGAGGGGCUCGCGGCCUAUCAGCUUGUUGGUGGGGUAAUGGCCUACCAAGGCGACGACGGGUAGCUGGUCUGAGAGGAUGGCCAGCCACAUUGGGACUGAGAUACGGCCCAG
rnacentral:rRNA from 1 species